GUAGUAGAAAUAAACACUGGCUGGCUCGCAGGCAGGCAGCAAACAACCAACCAAGUCAACACCACACAACAGAACAGAAAUCAAAAAGAUUUCUUCGUUUCGUGAGCACAGAUGCAACGUGCUACUCACAGCAACUGGUCGCACGUUCGUUCUCCCUAUUUUUUUGCUUUUGCGAUACAAAAAUUUUCGUGACUAAAAAGAAAAGCGAAAAAUACACAAUUUUGCAAAAAAAAAAAAAAUAAUAGUAAAAAGAACGUAUAAACAACAACAAAAACGUAAAAAAGUACGUAACAAAAGAAAAUCGAGGAAAAGUUUUCGGCUUCAUCGGGUGUCUCGGUAAAAGGUACAAGUGCUUGUGAGUGUUAAAGUGAAUGUGUCGUAUUCGAAUAAAAAGAAAAUAAAAAAGGAAAAAACAAAAGUAACUAAAAGAAACGACACAUGGAAGAAAAGUGAAAUAAAACAAAAUAUAAAGAAAAACGCAGGAAAUCUUCGUCUGUUUCCUUUAUGUGACGAGAGUAUUGUUUAACAUACGUAACCGUGCACAUCUUACUUUGCAACAACUUAAGUUACGCUCCAUAAAAGGACAACAACAACAAUAACAAAAAAAAAAAACAACAAAUAAAUAAAACAACAACCGUAACUAAAAUGUAUUUAAAAGAAAAUCUAACAAAGUGUUAACGGAAAUUAAUCAAAAGCCAAAGGAAUAAAAGUAAAAUUGUAAUAUCUGUAAAUACACACACACACACACUCAAACAAAAACCUAAAAUGUUGUAUAUGGAGAGUUAAUCAACAAAAAUAAAAAGUAUGAGUGAGAGUGAGCGAAUGAGUGAUGAUAUUUAUUUAUUUAUUUAUUUAUAAAUGUUAGUGUGUUUGUGUAAUUCACGUGCUUUUUGUUUUUAAUAAAAUAACGGUAACGCGUGUGUAACGUAAAACUAACAACAACAGCAACUACAACUACAAGAAAAUUUAGUGUAAAUAAAAAAUUAAUUACAGGAAAGGAUCCUUAGAAUAAAAUCUUUAUAGAGACUACAUUAUAACGGUUAAUUAGACAAUUAACUGUCUUUGUUAUAAUUGUGUUCUACAGUCUAACGUUUAAUAAAAAAUGUUUACUCUUUAAUUGUCUGCACACACAUUAAAAAGAAAUGUUUUUAUGCGAAUUGAUUACUCACAGAGAAUCCUG
rnacentral:misc_RNA from 1 species